CUCCGUGAUGUAGUUUGAAGUCGGAGAGGAAGAUGCAUCCAGCUGUGUUCUUCUUUCUCAGAGUCUUUUUGGCUGUUUAAGGUCAUCCGGAGGACUCAAGACAUGGUGGUUACUAAUAGACUUCCCACAGUCCUUCUUCAUUCCAUGUGGACUCCUUCAAGGGCGGUGAGCAUCACAGCUUCCCUUGAACUUCGUCUGGAGUGUUACUGAGAUGUUCAGUUAUUUGGACAAACCUGAUGGAUUUAAAGCAGACAUGGUGAAUAUGGGAUCUGGGUGGCCUUUUCUAUAUGGAUUGUUUUCACUAAAGAUGGUUUUCAUGUUUA